AUGCCGAAGAACAAGAAGCAGAACGCUCCCCACCGCGGUGGCAGUGCUGGUGGCGGCGGCGGCGGCAGGUGGCCAGCAUCGAAAUGUUCAACCUUUUAGUGAUGAAGAUGCAUCACUUGAAACAAUGCGCCAUUGCAGUGGUUAUAGCGAUCCUUCCAGUUUUGCUGAAGAUGGACCAGAAGUCCUUGAUGAGGAAGGAACUCAAGAAGACCUAGAAUAUAAAUUGAAGGAAUUAAUUGACCUAACCCUGGAUAAGAAUGCAAAGACAAGGCAAGCAGCUCUUGAAGGUAUUAAAAAUGCGCUGGCUUCAAAAAUGCUGUAUGAAGUUAUUCUGGAAAGAAGAAUGACUUUGACAGUAUUGAACACUGCCUGAAAAAGGGUAAGAGUGAUGAGCAACGUGCAGCCGCAGCAUGAGCAUCUGUUCUCUGUACUCAGCUGGGCCCUGGAAUUGAAAGUGGAGCGACUUUGAAAACUCUUGGACCAAUCCUAAAGAAAAUCAUUGGCAAUGGGGCAGCCAGUAUCCAGGUUAGGCAAACUUGUGCAACUUGCUUUGGUGUUUGCAGUUUUAUUGCCGCAGAUGACAUUACUGAACCAUACUCAACUCUGGAAUGUUUGGAAAAUAUCUUCACUAAGUCCUACCUCAAAGAGAAAGACACUACUGUUAUUUACAGCGCCCCUAAUUCAGUGCUUCCUAUCAGCUCGCUUCUUGCAUGGACACUGCUGCUGACCAUAUGCCCAAUCAACGAAGUGAAGAAAAACCUUGAGAUGCAUUUCCAAAAGCUUCCAAGCCUCCUCUCAUGUGAUGAUGUACACCUGAGAACAGCUGCUACUGAAUCUUUGGCACUUCUGUUUGAAUUGGCCAGAGGAAUAGAAAGUGACGUUUUCUAUGAAGACAUGGAGUCUUUGACGCAAAUGCUUAGGGCCUUGGCAACAGAUGGAAAUAAGCACCAGGCCAAAGUGGACCAGGGAAAGCAGCGGUCAGUUUUCAGAGAUGUCCUGAGGGCAGUGGAGGAACGGGAUUUUCCAACAGAAACCGUUAAAUUUGGUCCUGAACGUAUAUAUAUUGAUUGCUGGGUAAAAAAAAAAAACCACACACACACACCUAUGACACCUUUAAGGAGGUUCUUGGAUCAGGGAGGCAGUACCACUUGCAGUCAAAUGAAUUCCUUCCAAAUGUGUUUGAACUUGGAACCCCAGUGGUGCUUGAUGCUGCAACACUUAAAACGAUGAAGAUUUCUCAUUUUGAAAGGCAUUUAUGUAACUCUGCAGCCUUCAAAGCUCGAACCAAAGCUAGAAGCAAAUGUCAAGAUAAGAGAGCAGAUGUUGGAGAAUUCUUCUAGAUUUUCAGAACUUGAAGACUAUUUUUAAUUUCUAUUUUUUUUCUAUUUCAAUGUCUUUAAACUCUAAAGACACUUUUUAUCUUGGAUUAAGUUAGAUAACUUUUGUAGUAAGGGUUACAUUGCUUGUAAUUUAAUGUACAGUGUUGAAACUGGUGAGUUCUGAUUAUUAUUCUCUGUAAAUCAGUAAACAUGUAUAAAGUGUU